UCUUUAAAAUUUCAUCCAUUUGUAUUAUUAAAAACUAGUAUAACUGACAGAAUAAUUAGACAAUAACACGUGACAUGCCACGUGUACUUCUUACUGAUGUACAGAGACCAGUUUUUAAUAGCAAAAAUGAUGAACUUUUUAAUA
rfam:Gossypium arboreum cultivar AKA8401 contig_126994_1, whole genome shotgun sequence.